UACGUAGGUGACGAGCGUUGUCCGGAUUUACUGGGCGUAAAGAGCGCGCAGGCGGUCGUAUAAGUCGAGCGUGAAAGCCCCCGGCUCAACUGGGGAGGGUCGUUCGAUACUAUUCGACUCGAAGGCAGGAGAGGGAAGCAGAAUUCCCGGUGUAGUGGUGAAAUGCGUAGAUACCGGGAGGAAUACCAGUGGCGAAGGCGGCUUCCUGGCCUGUUCUUGACGCUGAGGCGCGAAAGCUAGGGGAGCAAACGGG
rnacentral:rRNA from 1 species